UACAGAGGGGGCAAGCGUUGUUCGGAAUUACUGGGCGUAAAGGGCGCGUAGGCGGCCUUCUAAGUCGAACGUGAAAUCCCUGGGCUCAACCCAGGAACUGCGUCCGAUACUGGAAGGCUUGAAUCCGGGAGAGGGAUGCGGAAUUCCUGGUGUAGCGGUGAAAUGCGUAGAGAUCAGGAAGAACAUCGGUGGCGAAGGCGAUCUGCUGGACCAUAACUGACACUCAGGGACGAAAGCUAGGGGAGCGAAUGGG
rnacentral:rRNA from 1 species